GGCUGCCAUUUAAGUCAAUCAAGAUUUAAAGGAUUUCAAUUGGCUUUGGUUGUUUCAUUCCCCGCCCACAUCACUGUGUGUAGGAUAACGCGAGUGACAGCAAUGUCAUUCAUAUUUUCACCACAAGAUGAUACAAUGUAAUGUUAUCUGAUACUACCAGUUCAACUUUUAAAAUACAGAGGUGCUCUGCAGGUCAUCUCCAUUGGAUGGAAAGGGUAGGGCAGUAGCGUGACUCAGUCUUGAGGAUGAUGAGUGUUAACGAGCUCCACAAGAUCACAAAGUGGUGUGCAUAAGCCUCGUGACUCGUUGGUACAGCUGCUGGACAACUGUCAUGAGAUUCCUAAAAUGGUUUGUCAAAAGAGCACAAAAGACAUGAUCAGUGAGUGGUGCCAAACAGAGCAAACUGUUCAAGCGAGGAAACCUAUGCCAACACACACAUGUAAAAAAACACACACAUAAAACAGAGGACAUGCCACUACCUCAGAUUGUUGCAAAUUACCAACAGACGAACAGAUAAGACAUUAUUAACACACACCAUGAUUCAUGACUAAGACAUUUUUGCCCAUCACACAAAUACAAACACUCGGGCAAACACACUGAAAUACACACUCACUCACACCUGUACACACACAUACUCACACACACACCUGUACACACACAUACUCACCGGGUGCUAAUGGAGACCCAGUUGUUGGGGUUGAAGCAGAAGAGCGAAGCCACGCAGUAGACACAGCACAACAACAUGGACAGCAGCCAUCUCUUUAAAGACAUCUUUAAUUCACAGUCCAAACGAUUCUCAACUUCAGCGUUCAACUUCAGAGUUCAAGCCCAAGACAGGAGAUUUGGUGGUGGUGGUGAACCCUUGUGGAAAAUGGCCCCAUCAUCCCGAAUGUCUGCACCAGGGACUCUUCGAGGUGACUGGGAUGACAGCCAGAUAGCAGGCUGGACAAGAGUCAGAUGCAGAGGAACCACAGCUGCAGACGAGAGAGGCGGGGAGAUACUUUUCCCUCUCAGGAGCAAAGGCACAUCAGGAGUGGAUGAGUACCCUCUGAAUGUUCUACCUUUCUUUCCAUAAAUGUUUAAUUAACAGCACUUUUUAUUAUUGUUUUACAAGGAGUUUGACAAAGAAAGAUAUUAACAAGAAACAUUUACAGAAGUCAAUACAAAUAGGAAAAAGAGUCUUUGGAUUCAAAUGUCAAUAUACCACAGCAGGAGUGGAUGUUGGUGGAUAUAAUUGAUUUGUUUUGAGGGGGUGGGGAUCUCACAGAUAUACAGGACUUAGAGCUUGUAAAUGACUCACUGGCAGCUUACAAUAAGACAUGCUGGAUAGGAGAGUCGGGUGGCAACCUCACGGCCAUGAUGCCUGGUGUGAGACCUAUACCAACCCCUGUUGUCUGCACCUCAAUGACGCCAGAAAUUAUGGGAUGGAUCCUGAGUGUGGCCUGUCUCCUCAUUAUCUCAACCAACCUGCUGGUAGCUGCUGCUCUGUUUAAGCUAAUGUGCAGGGAGGGCAGUCAGAGCUGGUGCUUCGUUAUCAACCUGGCCAUGCCAGAUACCUUGAUGUCCCUAACAACAGGGUUUCAUUUCAAUUCAGGGGAUGAACAGACUCAAUUUGUGAAUUCUUGAUCAACUGGAUAAUGAACAUGAUAUAUUUUUACACUAAUAAUCUAAAUACAGUAUCAUAUAGUAUGUUUGUUAUUCUCCUCUGCUCUGCAGGCAUGGUGCGGCAGCUACAGCAGAGAAACUUCAACAGCAGCAAUCUUUGCACCUUCUUCUCUGUCAUCCGUCCUCGGGGCUUCAUUGUGGUGUUCUGUGCUGGCUUCUUCCCCAUCCUCUCUGUCUUCAACUACUUCUACCUGGACAUCCUGAAGAUUGCCUGCGGCCACCAGGUGCAGAUCCGUCAGGCCAGCUAAAGGCUUCCACAGGCAGCCACUACUGGGGCCACGCCAAGGCCCUGAGGACUGUGGCUCUGUUGGUGGUCUGUUUCACCAUCUGCUCGUGCCGUUUGUGGUGUGUGUGGUGCAGGUGCUGUGUGAGGGCUGUGAGUUGUACAAGGUGCUGGAGAACGACCUGUAGCUGCUGGGGCUGUCCAACCCCCUCAUCAACCCUCUGGUGUACACCUGCUGGCAGAGGGAGGUGUGGCUGAAGAUCGGGGCACUCAUCUCUGUUAAGGACAGGUUCAGGAACACAGCCGUGUUAGAGUCUAGUGAGAGAUGUGAGACAGAGCUGCGUAUACUGCGUACACUUAUACUGUUAUAUCUGUGGACAAUGUCCUGAGCCUGGACCCCACCUUUCCCACGGUCACCACUGAACAGGGCCACACUGUAUCGCUUUCUGCCUCAACCACCUUGUAAAUGACUUAAACAUUUUGAGAACAACUCAUUGAGGUGGAAUAAACCAAUUUGAACACUUACUGUGGCAGCUUAGAGCUUUCUCCAUUUCUGGUAGAAACGGUUCACGUCACACAUCUGGCGACAGCAAGCAACUGCCAAGAACAACCAAAAGUGGAAAAAUAACGAGAUGAGAUGGAUGUGGAGACAUCAUGAAACCUAUUUGCUGUUUUUCCUCUUUCCUCUACUAACCUAAUUGAUAUUAUCUCUGCAAAGGAGAGAUGGACUUUGUCCCUCUGCAUUCCCACCCAGCUAGCACAUAAUGCUCUGAUCGCUAUAUGUUUCUUAGAGCAUGAUUGUUUUGUGCAGGAUAGUUACUUGGCUUUGGAACAUUCUCAGUACAUUGAACUUGACAAAAUAAUGUUAUUUUUUGGGUAUUUCAUUACUUUAACAGAACGUUUCCUAAAAGGUCUAACUUGGUUACAUUUAAUUACAUUUUUUGUUAAUGUUCUAGGAACCUUUUCCAACGGGAUUGACAUUGGGAAUAUCAUCAAAUUGUUCAGAGAAUGUUAAGAAACAAUGUUCUCCUGUGGGAAUUUCAGUACUGCAGCAUAAUGUUUUCUGUAGGUUUACACAUGGUUCAAUUUUCUCAGAACACUACAAAUAUUUUCCAUAAAAACCCAAUAAUUGGCCACACCUGA